rnacentral:rRNA from 1 species
UACUGGGGCAUAACUGACGCUGAGGCACGAAAGCGUGGGGAGCGAACGGGAUUAGAUACCCCGGUAGUCCACGCUGUAAACGCUGGAUACUAGAUGUUGGGUGUUUUACGAAACACUCGGUGUCGUAGCUAACGCGAUAAGUAUCCCGCCUGGGGAGUACGGUCGCAAGAUUAAAACUCAAAGGAAUUGACGGGGGCCCGCACAAGCGGUGGAGCAUGUGGUUUAAUUCGAUGCAACGCGAAGAACCUUACCCGGACUUGACAUCCCUGGCUACACAUAGAGAUAUGUGGUAUCUCUUCGGAGAUUCAGGAGACAGGUGCUGCAUGGCUGUCGUCAGCUCGUGUUGUGAGAUGUUGGGUUAAGUCCCGCAACGAGCGCAACCCUUACUGUCAGUUGCCAGCAUUAAGUUGGGCACUCUGACGGGACUGCCCGGGUUAACCGGGAGGAAGGUGGGGAUGACGUCAAGUCCUCAUGGCCCUUAUGUCCGGGGCUACACACGUGCUACAAUGGUGCAGACAGAGGGAAGCGAGACGGUAACGUUAAGCGAAUCUCAGAAACUGUACCUCAGUUCGGAUUGGGGUCUGCAACUCGACCCUAUGAAGUUGGAAUCGCUAGUAAUCGCGGAACAGCAUGCCGCGGUGAAUAUGUUCCCGGGCCUUGUACACACCGCCCGUCACACCAUGGGAGUUGUUCUCACUGGAAGACGUUGAGCCAGCCUUCGGGAGGCAGGCGUCAAUGGUGGG